CGGCCGCAUGCAGUCGAGCGGGACGACUUAACUGAACCUUCGGGGAACGUUAAGGGCGUCGAGCGGCGGACGGGUGAGUAAUGCCUGGGAAUAUGCCUUGAUGUGGGGGAUAACCAUUGGAAACGAUGGCUAAUACCGCAUAAUCUCUUCGGAGCAAAGAGGGGGACCUUCGGGCCUCUCGCGUCAAGAUUAGCCCAGGUGGGAUUAGCUAGUUGGUGAGGUAAUGGCUCACCAAGGCGACGAUCCCUAGCUGGUCUGAGAGGAUGAUCAGCCACACUGGAACUGAGACACGGUCCAGACUCCUACGGGAGGCAGCAGUGGGGAAUAUUGCACAAUGGGCGCAAGCCUGAUGCAGCCAUGCCGCGUGUGUGAAGAAGGCCUUCGGGUUGUAAAGCACUUUCAGUCGUGAGGAAGGCGGCGUCGUUAAUAGCGGCGUUGUUUGACGUUAGCGACAGAAGAAGCACCGGCUAACUCCGUGCCAGCAGCCGCGGUAAUACGGAGGGUGCGAGCGUUAAUCGGAAUUACUGGGCGUAAAGCGCAUGCAGGUGGUUAGUUAAGUCAGAUGUGAAAGCCCGGGGCUCAACCUCGGAACCGCAUUUGAAACUGGCUGGCUAGAGUACUGUAGAGGGGGGUAGAAUUUCAGGUGUAGCGGUGAAAUGCGUAGAGAUCUGAAGGAAUACCAGUGGCGAAGGCGGCCCCCUGGACAGAUACUGACACUCAGAUGCGAAAGCGUGGGGAGCAAACAGGAUUAGAUACCCUGGUAGUCCACGCCGUAUACGAUGUCUACUUGGAGGAUUGUGGCCCUUGAGCCGUGCCUUUCGGAGCUAACGCGUUAAGUAGGACCGCCUGGGGAGUACCGGUCGCAAGAUUAAAACUUAAUAUGAAUUAGCACGGGGGCCCCGCACAAGCGCGGAGCAUGUCGAUUAAUUCGAUGCAACGCGAAGAACCUUACCUACUCUUGACAUCCAGAGACGUUUCAGAGAUGAUUGUGCCUUCGGGAACCUCUGAAUAAGUUACUGCAUGCUGUCAGUCAGCUAGAGGUCGUGAAUGCUCGGAGUAGUCCUGCAACGAGGCGCACGCUUAUCUUUGUUUGCAGCAGUAAUGUCAGGUAACUCCAGCGGAACUGCGUGAAUAACCCGAGAAGCUGAGUAACAGAGUUCAGAGU
rnacentral:rRNA from 1 species